rnacentral:rRNA from 1 species
UGGGGAAUAUUGCACAAUGGGCGCAAGCCUGAUGCAGCCAUGCCGCGUGUAUGAAGAAGGCCUUCGGGUUGUAAAGUACUUUCAGUCGGGAGGAAGGUGGUAAGGUUAAUAACCUUGGCAAUUGACGUUACCGACAGAAGAAGCACCGGCUAACUCCGUGCCAGCAGCCGCGGUAAUACGGAGGGUGCAAGCGUUGUCCGGAUUUAUUGGGCGUAAAGCGAGCGCAGGCGGUUUCUUAAGUCUGAUGUGAAAGCCCCCGGCUCAACCGGGGAGGGUCAUUGGAAACUGGGAGACUUGAGUGCAGAAGAGGAGAGUGGAAUUCCAUGUGUAGCGGUGAAAUGCGUAGAUAUAUGGAGGAACACCAGUGGCGAAGGCGGCCCCCUGGACGAAGACUGACGCUCAGGUGCGAAAGCGUGGGGAGCAAACAGG